rnacentral:lncRNA from 1 species
UUGAGCGAUGACUCAAGUGAUGAGGACAAUGAUGAACUUGAACUUCGAACACUAAAUCUUAAUAAGUUUAUUAAACAAAAAUCUAAAAUAAACAAUGAACUUGAACGGAGGAAGAGGCCAAAGAAAAAGGAAGGCACCCAAGGAUGAAUCAACAACUUCCAAAGGUGAAACGACAAAUUGGGCUUUGACGAGCUUCGACUACAAGGUAAGUAACUCAACUCUCUUGAAUUAUUUUGAAAUUAC